rnacentral:rRNA from 14 species
CCAAGGGCACACGGCGGAUGUCUUGGCGUCAGGAGGCGAUGAAGGACGUGGUAACCUGCGAUAAGCUUGGGGAAGCUGGUAAACGAGCUGUGAUCCCAAGAUUUCCGAAUGGGGCAACCCGACCCAAUUGGGUCACCGUACGCUGAAUGCAUAGGCGUACGGAGCGAACCCGGGGAACUGAAACAUCUAAGUACCCGGAGGAAAGGAAAGCAAUUGCGACUCCGUGAGUAGCGGCGAGCGAAAGCGGAUUGAGGCCAGGCGAGGCUGCUGGAAUGCAGCGCCACAGAGGGUGAAAGCCCCGUAGCCGGCCGUUAGAGUCUUCAAGUAGGUUCGGGCCCGUGAAACCCGGAUCGAACGUGGGGGGUCCACCCUCCAAGACUAAGUACUCCCUGACGACCGAUAGCGCAUCAGUAAGGUGACUGAAUGAUAAAAAGUACCGCGAUGAGCGGGGUGAAAGAGUACCUGAAACCGUGUGCCUACAAGCGGUGGGAGCCCUUUUGGGGGUGACCGCGUGCUUUUUGCAUAAUGAGCCCACGAGUUAGUCUCUGCAGCGAGCCUAAGGCCUACCGGGCCGGAGGCGAAGGGAAACCGAGUCUGAAUAGGGCGCCCAGUUGCAGGGGCUAGACGCGAAACCCGUGUGAUCUACC